GCUUCACGGACACGGAGGUGCGGGCCAGAAACGAGAGGCAGAAGAAAGGGAGCAGAAGUGAGCACAAACCCGAGGAGUAAGAGAUGAGCCCGAUGCCGUGCACGUGCGCAGUGGGUCGCGUGCCGGGCACUGCGAUGGCGGGCACGCUAGUGUCUUUCACGCCUUCCACAGCAGGCGUGCUUGGCGACGCUCACUCCGUUGAUGCACAGCUCUCCGAUAUACCAGAGAGCGCGCCGGUGCCCUGCUUCUAUUGUCUGUGCUCCGUGUGUGGGCAGUGGCUUGCUGAGGUCCCCACCGUCAGGUGUGACGCCUGCGGGUCUCGCACGCACAUAACCUGUGCUAGGGACGUCUACUCAAAUGAGUGGCUCUACGAUGAGGUAGCCGUGGCUUCGACAGCCGCAACAAGUGCAGGGGGUGGUACUCUCGGCUUGCCCAACGCCGCUUCGGCCGCUGCGAGGAACCGGCGGACACAGUACACCGGGCGGGAGCCGCGCAAUGGCGAGGGCACUGCGGGCUCGCCUACACAUGCCGCUGUUCUUGCCGCGCCAUCGGGCUUGUCAGUCUCCCCACCGCUCAGUCGCGACUCUUCGCACACGAACCUACUGCCGUCGCCGCAAGCGCUCCGCUCCGCUGCGGCAAAGAUCGACAAGGAGUAUAACUACUACUGUCACCCCGACUGCGCCAUGGGGAUGGAGGUGCUGCGCAACCCACAGUUCAACGCAACCCUUUCGCGCACAGUCGAACACGCCUUCGCGCGAGAGUGGGCACGCACACGGGAGUCGCUGGUGGCCGCCGGCGUACUGCGUGACCACAAACACGAAGCUGGCGCGCUCGGCGACGCAGCCGCAGAGGAGCAAGCGCCACUUCCUUCCUAUUCGCCGGUCAAGAGUCCUUCUGCUGCGCCGAUGAAGGUGGAGGCUGCAGAGGAGAGCACUGCGGCAUCAUCCUUCUGCCCUUCUCCUCCACCGACCGCGACAGCUAGCCCCUCAGUACCUGAGGGAGACAUGCACGGCUGCGCACCACACGCGAGUGUGGCGAAUUUUCCUGAUAUUGCUGCCUGCCAUCCGUCGGUCGCCCUGGAGGUGCUUCGACUCUACCAUCAGCUGCGCGCCGAAGCGUGGGCGGAGUACUUUGAGCAGGAGCGUCACCACUUUGGGCACCCGCUCUUCUACCCACCUCCAUUCCUCGACAUCGCGCGGGACGCCGCGUUAGGGCAUGUCGUGGAGGCCGCGUCCCCUCAGGGGCAGGCGGCGCGACUCUAUCUUCUCGACCGCAGCACGCACCCCGUGGGAUCGGCGGUGGCGAUUCCCGUUGGCGUCCUGACGCGGUGGCAGCAGCCGACGGCGGCGCCACUCAUUAAGGAGAACGACUCGAACAACUUUGUGGCGGAGGCGCUCGAGCGAAUCGUGAAUGACGCUGUGGCGCCGGAGACGGUGGUCGUGUACCGCAAGUGCAGCAAGGAGGGCCGCGUGCUGGUGUGAGAGCACGGUGACGCUGGCGCCGGCCUAGCAGAGAAGAAAACCAGCGCAGUAUGCUGUGGCGCACAUUUUCUGUCGCCCUCUUUUCGGCACGUGCACACCAGGUGUGCAUGUUGCCUUCCGUGAGGCGCGUGCUUUGCCCUCCGUCUUCUCCAUUUCGUUUUGCGUCUAGAGGGGAGUCGUUCGUGUCUGCCCACGUUGCGCGCAGCUGCAGCGCACGAGCGACGGCGAUGGCAACGCGCACCGCAGCGUCACAGCAGAGAAUCAAC
rnacentral:misc_RNA from 1 species